ensembl:lncRNA
AGGCCGCGCUGCGGCAGCGCGCGGAGGGUCGGCGCAUGCGCAGAGCGCGCUUCCUUUUCUCCUCAGCGUUCUUUGAGUUUUCAGUGAGUGUUAAUUGCGGUGGCCGAAUGGCAGCGUAAAGGGGAUUCUCAGUCUGUUAAAAUCUUUUGACCACGUUGGCAAGGAGCCCGGCAGGCGUUAACUACCACAGGAGCUCACAGAACUUCCUAGUGCCUUGUGUGGCAGGCUCAGCGCCCACAGACUCAGCUGUUUGCUCUCUUCUGUCUCAAGACGACAAGAAACGCCAUCAUCAGGAAUCUAAAAGGACUGGAAUUGCACAACUGACCUUGUCACUUGUUCACAGAUACAGCAUUAAUCCAGUUGCUUUGUAGACCUAGAUGGAAACCACUCAUUUUUCAUCAAAAACGUGAUGAGCUCUUUCCAUUUUCUAUAGCCCAGCUGCAGUGGGGUUCAUUUUACAGUGACAUCAGGGUGCUGCUUAUUUUUUUACUUAAAACCUGGGAAAAAUAGGAAAUAAAACCUCAUUUACUUCCUGCUGAGCGGUGCCUGGUUGAAACAAAACCCAAACAUGGAUUGAGUCACUAUAGAAAUGGGUUGAACCCCCUAAAAGUACCCCUUGAGUAGCUUUAUUUCUGCUGUGUGAUUUAAGUGCAGUCCCAGCAAGUGUGGUAGGUCAGAUCUCACCUCGUCCUGCAGUCUUGCCUAUCCACAAGAUGUAACUGAAAUAGAACAAAGUGAGACACUCAGCACCUUCAGUGCUCACGGCUUCCAAAAGCUCUGCCAAAGCCCCAGCUACUUAUUCAAACAGUCCACGUGUUCUUUGUAUUUGGACAGUGCUUCACACCUUAUUGCAAAGGCAGUGUGUUUACAGGAAAAGAUUUCAAGCUGGCCAAUGUUGCUUUAGCAGAUCCAGAGAAUAUGAUUGUGAGGGUUGGGGAGAGAGAUCAAAGCAAAGCAAGAAUGCGGUACAACAGAGGCAAGGCAGCAAUGCAGGACGUGUGGCUGCAGGUAAUGCGGGCACCCCAAAGUGGGCAGAAGGAGAAAUGAAGGCAAACCCCUCAGUAAGUCCAAUCCUGCAUGGAUGUACCAGAGCUGUGCUGGGGGAACUGCACGGAAAGUUCUGCUCCAGGUGGGACCUGGGGAGUCAAUCUGUGCUGAGGGAAUAAAGUGCUUU